UCGAGCGAUGAAACUACUUCGGUAGUGAAUUAGCGGCGAACGGGUGAGGAACACGUGAGGAAUCUGCCUUCAACACUGGGAUAACUCCGGGAAACCGGGGCUAAUACCGGAUACGAGCUCUGAUCGCAUGAUCGGGGCUGGAAAGUUUUUCGGUUGAAGAUGACCUCGCGGCCUAUCAGCUUGUUGGUGAGGUAAUGGCUCACCAAGGCGACGACGGGUAGCCGGCCUGAGAGGGCGACCGGCCACACUGGGACUGAGACACGGCCCAGACUCC
rnacentral:rRNA from 2 species